AUUGAACGCUGGCGGCAGGCUUAACACAUGCAAGUCGAGCGGGGUGAUGGUGCUUGCACUAUCACUUAGCGGCGGACGGGUGAGUACUGCGUCGGAACGCACCGAGUAAUGGGGGAUAACGCAGCGAAAGCUGUGCUAAUACCGCAUACGCACUGAGGAGGAAAGCGGGGGACCUUCGGGCGUCGCGUUAUUCGAGAGGCCGACGUCUGGUUAGCUAGUAGGUGAGGUAAGAGCUCGCCUAGGCGACGAUCAGUAGCGGGUCUGAGAGGAGGAUCCGCCCCACGGGGACUGAGACACGGCCCAGACUCCUGCGGGAGGCAGCAGUGGGGAAUUUUGGACAAUGGGCGCAAGCCUGAUCCAGCCAUGCCGCGUGUCUGAAGAAGGCCUUCGGGUUGUAAAGGACUUUUGUCAGGGAGGAAAUCCUUAGCGCUAAUACCGUUGAGGGAUGACAGUACCUGAAGAAUAAGCACCGGCUAACUACGUGCCAGCCGCCGCCGUAA
rnacentral:rRNA from 1 species